rnacentral:rRNA from 1 species
UAGUAACUGCGAGUGAAGCGGGAAAAGCUCAAAUUUAAAAUCUGGCGGUCUCUGGCCGUCCGAGUUGUAAUCUAGAGAAGUGUUACCCGCGCUGGACCGUGUACAAGUCCCCUGGAAUGGGGCGUCAUAGAGGGUGAGAAUCCCGUCUCUGACACGGACUACCAGGGCUUUGUGGUAUGCUCUCAAAGAGUCGAGUUGUUUGGGAAUGCAGCUCAAAAUGGGUGGUAAAUUCCAUCUAAAGCUAAAUAUUGGCGAGAGACCGAUAGCGAACAAGUACCGUGAGGGAAAGAUGAAAAGAACUUUGGAAAGAGAGUUAAACAGUACGUGAAAUUGCUGAAAGGGAAACGCUUGAAGUCAGUCGCGUUGGCCGGGAAUCAGCCUCGCUUUUGCGUGGUGUACUUUCUGGUUGACGGGUCAGCAUCAAUUUUGACCGCUGGAAAAAGGCUUGGGGAAUGUGGCAGCUCCGGCUGUGUUAUAGCCCCUUGUCACAUACAGCGGUUGGGAUUGAGGAACUCAGCACGCCGCAAGGCCGGGUUUCGACCACGUUCGUGCUUAGGAUGCUGGCAUAAUGGCUUUAAGCGACCCGUCUUGAAACACGGACCAAGGAGUCUAACAUGCCUGCGAGUGUUUGGGUGGAAAACCCGAGCGCGUAAUGAAAGUGAAAGUUGAGAUCCCUGUCGUGGGGAGCAUCGACGCCCGGACCAGAACUUUUGGGACGGAUCCGCGGUAGAGCAUGUAUGUUGGGACCCGAAAGAUGGUGAACUAUGCCUGAAUAGGGUGAAGCCAGAGGAAACUCUGGUGGAGGCUCGUAGCGAUUCUGACGUGCAAAUCGA